rnacentral:rRNA from 1 species
UCAGGAUGAACGCUGGCGGCGUGCCUAACACAUGCAAGUCGAGCGGAGAUAUGAGGGAUCUUUAGAUGAACUCCUUAUCUAGCGGCGGAUGGGUGAGUGACACGUGGGUAACCCUGCCCUGCACAGGGGGAUAACAGCUGGAAACGGCUGUUAAUACCGCAUAUGCACACGCUGCCGCAUGGCAGGGGGUGGAAAGAUUUAUCGGUGCAGGAUGGGCCCGCGUCGGAUUAACUAGUUGGCAGGGUAACGGCCUACCAAGGUGAUGAUCCGUAGCCGACCUGAGAGGGUGACCGGCCACAUUGGGACUGAGACACGGCCCAAACUCCUACGGGAGGCAGCAGUGGGGGAUAUUGCACAAUGGGCGCAAGCCUGAUGCAGCGACGCCGCGUGAAGGAAGAAGUAUUUCGGUAUGUAAACUUCUAUCAGCGGGGAAGAAGAUGACGGUACCCGACUAAGAAGCCCCGGCUAACUACGUGCCAGCCGCAGC